rnacentral:lncRNA from 1 species
GAGAUCAGACGGCAAAACGGACAUCACUUUUGAACUCAGGACGGUCGAAAACCUUAGGAGGAGCAUAAAAGGAAAAAUGACACUAUUCACAUGUACGGUACUAUUCACGUGUACGGUACUGUAUACGUUACUGUUCACGACACUGUUCACAUAGACGGAUGAUGACGUGGCAUUGACCGAUGAUGUGGCAUUGACUGAUGAGGUGUCACGAUCCUGUUGGACUAAAAUUCUUAUGUACUGUUGAUGGUGACAUGGCAGCAUAUCAGUGGACGAAAAAUCUCGCGUACGGUGCAUGCAUCACACAGGAUUAUUUUCAACCAAACCGCGUUACUGUUCAAAGUCGGGUCAAACCGUGUUACUGUUCAUCCGCGUGGUCAAACCGUGGACUGUUGACUGAUGACGUGGCGCAAUCCUGAGCGUCCAAACUGUUUUUAAUCCGAUGGCCAUGAUUUACUCCAUGUAUCUAUAAAAAGGGGGCCCCCCCCCCCUAAUUUGAUAUCUCUGAAUCCAUUUUUGGGAUCCAUUUUCUGUAAUUCCUUCUCCAUCUUGUAUUUUCUUCGUAUUUUAAUAAAUUUCUAUUUUGCCCCUAGUUCAACUAUGAGUGGCUAAUUUUCUUUCAAGCUUGGGUUGAAGGUGAAGUCUCAACAUGUGUCAUGGGCUUAAUUUGGUAAAUUUAUUUUCUCUUCCCCUCUAAUUUUUGUGGAUGUUUUGACUUCUCGUCGACAAAUAAUAAUAGUCUUGUCUAGAUACCGCCUUGGUUACACCGGCUUUCUAGUAUAAGGUUAUUAUUAUUUGGCACGAUAAGCCCUUAGCACCAUAUUGAUUAGAGCGUGGUUCAUGAGGUGUGGAUUCCCCCCUCAUGAUUUAAUUGACAUUAAUACGAAUUAUUUAGCCCAUGAUGCAUGUUGAUACGGAUCCAGAUACCCAAGUACGUUAUUUCAAUAGAAUUCUCUUCAAUUUCUUCUCGCCAUUUCAAUACCAAUUUUAGAAUUUAUUAUCGCCAUUUUAAUUUAAGUUUUAGCAUAUUCCAAAUCAUUUCCACCAAAAAAUCCAACCACUCAUUUACAAAAUUAAUUCUAUACACAAUUAAAAUCCACCUCCUCGUGGGAUCGACACUCGUCACCAUUAGUCUAUACUACAAUAGAUUCGUGCGCUUGCGAGUACAUUAAAAUUUGCACAACACCCAUGAAAAAAAAGCUCGGACAAAACCCAGGGCCACUACUUUUUUUAAAAAAUAAUUUUAUAAAUUAGAAUAAUAUAAUUAAAAUUGAAAAGUAAUUUAAAAAUAAAAAAGAAAACUUAAAUUCUUAACUUAUAAUUAUAAAUCAAUUAUGAUUAAAAAAAACUAAAAUUAUGAUACUAAAUUCUCUCUUUUGUGUCAAUUAAUUAAGAGAGCGUUUGAAUUAGAAAAUCCAGUAUUAAAGAAAAUUAAAGUUAUGAGCUUUUAUUUACUUUAUUUAUUAUUUUAAUUUGAAAUAUUCAUUUUCUUUUAAUUUAUCUAUGAUUGUAAUAACUUGUUGAUCAUUAAUUUAUUUCAAAUUUACAAUAAUUUAAAAUUUUUUAAAUAAAUAAAUAAAGCCCAAGUCCAGCCCGAGCCCGGCCUAGACCCGCAAUCUUAACUGACAGUAGGCCUGAACAUGGACUUGAAAAAGCCCGGCCCAGACCCACUGUUUGCCAUCCCUAUUCGUGAUAUCAUAAUUGAUAACCUUUUAACAUUUUAAGUUGGAUUUGUAAAAUUACGUAACACAAAUUAAUUAGUGAGCAUUUGUGUUUAUCGUGGGAUGGGAAGAUGAGAUUGUCAUAUUCUUCUUCUUAUUUCAUCAUCUCAUUAUUAUUAUUGUUAUUAAUGACUUAAGAUGGAUGAGCCUCGCUUGUGUCUUCACCUCGCCGCCUGUCUCAUGGGAUGGGAAUUGGGGAUUGGGAUGGGGAGUCGGUCAGCCUUAUUGAUGACAAAUACAAUAAUUGAGUUUGCAAACUGCAAAUGGCUAUCUAUCUUUCGCUUUAUACGCGGUUCCUUAGCUGGCCUUGACUUCCAUAUCAAGCUCUCUCCUCCAUUAUUUUCAGUUUUUCACACUGCGUUUCUUUCUCUAUAUUUAUAAUUCUUCUCCAUCAAUUAAACAAACAUUUCUUUAUUCUUUACUAGGAAAUAGAACCGCUUCGCGCAGCUUUAAAAAAAGAAUUUAGUAUUUUUUUUUACUUUGCACUUGAUAAAAUUG